rnacentral:rRNA from 1 species
UACGGAGGUUGCAAGCGUUGUUCGGAAUUACUGGGCGUAAAGGGGGCGCAGGCGGUUCUUUAAGUCAGGGGUGAAAUCCUGGAGCUCAACUCCAGAACUGCCUUUGAUACUGAAGAUCUUGAGUUCGGGAGAGGUGAGUGGAACUGCGAGUGUAGAGGUGAAAUUCGUAGAUAUUCGCAAGAACACCAGUGGCGAAGGCGGCUCACUGGCCCGUUACUGACGCUGAGGCGCGAAAGCGUGGGGAGCAAACAGG